rnacentral:rRNA from 1 species
AUUGAACGCUGGCGGCAUGCCUUACACAUGCAAGUCGAACGGCAGCGGGCCCUUCGGGGUGCCGGCGAGUGGCGAACGGGUGAGUAAUGCAUCGGAACGUACCCGGGAGAGGGGGAUAACCGGCCGAAAGGCUGGCUAAUACCGCAUGAACUCGGAAGAGCAAAGCGGGGGACCUUCGGGCCUCGCGCUCUCGGAGCGGCCGAUGUCCGAUUAGGCUAGUUGGUGGGGUAAAGGCCCACCAAGGCGACGAUCGGUAGCGGGUCUGAGAGGACGAUCCGCCACACGGGAACUGAGACACGGCCCAGACUCCUACGGGAGGCAGCAGUGGGGAAUCUUGGACAAUGGGCGCAAGCCUGAUCCAGCAAUGCCGCGUGGGUGAAGAAGGCCUUCGGGUUGUAAAGCCCUUUCGGCGGGGAAGAAAUCGGUCAGGCGAAUAGUCUGGCCGGAUGACGGUACCCGCAGAAGAAGCACCGGCUAACUACGUG